GACGGAGGGUGCAAGCGUUGUUCGGAUUGACUGGGCGUAAAGGGCGUGUAGGCGGUCGGCCAAGUCUGAUGUGAAAGCCCGAGGCUCAGCCUCGGAAGUGCGUCGGAAACUAGUCGGCUGAAGCGCGAUAGAGGAGGGUGGAAUUCCUGGUGUAGCGGUGAAAUGCGUAGAUAUCAGGAGGAACACCGGCGGCGAAGGCGGCCCUCUGGAUCGUUGCUGACGCUGAUACGCGAAAGCGUGGGGAGCAAACAGG
rnacentral:rRNA from 1 species